UACGAAGGGUGCGAGCGUUGUCCGGAAUCACUGGGCGUAAAGAGCUCGUAGGCGGUGUGUCGCGUCGGCCGUGAAAACCUGCAGCUUAACUGUGGGCUUGCGGUCGAUACGGGCAUCACUGGAGUUCGGCAGGGGAGACUGGAAUUCCUGGUGUAGCGGUGAAAUGCGCAGAUAUCAGGAGGAACACCGGUGGCGAAGGCGGGUCUCUGGGCCGAUACUGACGCUGAGGAGCGAAAGCGUGGGGAGCGAACAGG
rnacentral:rRNA from 1 species